CCCAAUUCGGGGAUAUAAAUGUUUCCGAUUUGAUCAGUUGACUUUUUAGCCAAUCUGCAUCAACACAGAAACGUAGGCUUUGAUAGGUUUGUAAUAUAUUAAUGGCAAAUUCGGUAAAUUGUAACUGUUGAAUAGUAAAAUUAUCAAUUUUUAGCGGAAAAAAUGCAGUGCCACUUAAAAGCAUGAAUAUUUAUCAAAGGUACCAGG
rnacentral:lncRNA from 1 species